CAGGGACCGCAAGGCCUUGCGCUCACGGAGCGGCCGAUGGCAGAUUAGGUAGUUGGUGGGAUAAAAGCUUACCAAGCCGACGAUCUGUAGCUGGUCUGAGAGGACGACCAGCCACACUGGGACUGGGACACGGCCCAGACUCCUACGGGAGGCGGCAGUGGGGAAUUUUGGACAAUGGGCGCAAGCCUGAUCCAGCCAUGCCGCGUGCAGGAUGAAGGCCUUCGGGUUGUAAACUGCUUUUGUACGGAACGAAAAGACUCUGGUUAAUACCUGGGGUCCAUGACGGUACCGUAAGAAUAAGCACCGGCUAACUACGUGCCAGCAGCCGCGGUAAUACGUAGGGUGCGAGCGUUAAUCGGAAUUACUGGGCGUAAAGCGUGCGCAGGCGGUUAUGUAAGACAGAUGUGAAAUCCCCGGGUUCAACCUGGGAACUGCAUUUGUGACUGCAUAGCUAGAGUACGGCAGAGGGGGAUGGAAUUCCGCGUGUAGCAGUGAAAUGCGAGAGUAUGCGGAGGAANCANNCCGAUGGCGAAGGCAAUCCCCUGGGCCUGUACUGACGCUCAUGCACGAAAGCGUGGGGAGCNAACAGGAUUAGAUACCCUGGUAGUCCACGCCCUAACCGUUCUCAACUGGUUGUUGGGUCUUCACUGACUCAGUAACGAAGCUAACGCGUGAAGUUGACCGCCUGNGGGAGUNACGGCCGNCAAGNGNUUUACUACUCAAAGGAAUUGACGGGGACCCGCACAAGCGGUGGAUGAUGUGGUUUAAUUCGAUGCAACGCGAAAAACCUUACCCACCUUUGACAUGUACGGAAUCCUUUAGAGAUAGAGGAGUGCUCGAAAGAGAGCCGUAACACAGGUGCUGCAUGGCUGUCGUCAGCUCGUGUCGUGAGAUGUUGGGUUAAGUCCCGCAACGAGCGCAACCCUUGCCAUUAGUUGCUACGAAAGGGCACUCUAAUGGGACUGCCGGUGACAAACCGGAGGAAGGUGGUUUCUUACGUCAAGUCCUCAUGGCCCUUAUAGGUGGGGCUACACACGUCAUACAAUGGCUGGUACAGAGGGUUGCCAACCCGCGAGGGGGAGCUAAUCCCAUAAAGCCAGUCGUAGUCCGGAUC
rnacentral:rRNA from 1 species